rnacentral:vault_RNA from 1 species
GGGUCAGCUUUAGCUCAAGCGGUUACUUCGGUUUCUGCUCUGUUGCAGACACAUAACCCUACCUUAGGGUUCGAGACCUGUGGGCGCUCCCUGACCCUUUU